rnacentral:rRNA from 2 species
GUCUUGGAGGGUUUCCGCCCUUCAGUGCUGCAGCUAACGCAUUAAGCAUUCCGCCUGGGGAGUACGGCCGCAAGGCUGAAACUCAAAGGAAUUGACGGGGGCCCGCACAAGCGGUGGAGCAUGUGGUUUAAUUCGAAGCUACGCGAAGAACCUUACCAGGUCUUGACAUACUAUGCAAAUCUAAGAGAUUAGACGUUCCCUUCGGGGACAUGGAUACAGGUGGUGCAUGGUUGUCGUCAGCUCGUGUCGUGAGAUGUUGGGUUAAGUCCCGCAACGAGCGCAACCCUUAUUAUCAGUUGCCAGCAUUAAGUUGGGCACUCUGGUGAGACUGCCGGUGACAAACCGGAGGAAGGUGGGGAUGACGUCAAAUCAUCAUGCCCCUUAUGACCUGGGCUACACACGUGCUACAAUGGAUGGUACAACGAGUUGCGAACUCGCGAGAGUAAGCUAAUCUCUUAAAGCCAUUCUCAGUUCGGAUUGUAGGCUGCAACUCGCCUACAUGAAGUCGGAAUCGCUAGUAAUCGCGGAUCAGCAUGCCGCGGUGAAUACGUUCCCGGGCCUUGUACACACCGCCCGUCACACCAUGAGAGUUUGUAACACCCAAAGUCGGUGGGGUAACCUUUUAGGAACCAGCCGCCUAAGGUGGGACAGAUGAUUAGGGUGAAGUCGUAACAGGGUAAACCGUAAAAAAGUCCGCUGGCCAAAAGGGGCGGGUCGUGGGGCGUGGUUUAAGACCCCAGC